GGUGCAUUAGCUCAGCUGGUAGAGCAGCGUCCUCUUAAGUCGCGGGUCGGGGGUUCAAGUCCCUCAUGCAUCAC
rnacentral:tRNA from 1 species